UGGGGAAUUUUGGACAAUGGGCGAAAGCCUGAUCCAGCAAUGCCGCGUGUGUGAAGAAGGCCUUCGGGUUGUAAAGCACUUUUGUCCGGAAAGAAAUCCUUGGCUCUAAUACAGUCGGGGGAUGACGGUACCGGAAGAAUAAGCACCGGCUAACUACGUGCCAGCAGCCGCGGUAAUACGUAGGGUGCAAGCGUUAAUCGGAAUUACUGGGCGUAAAGCGUGCGCAGGCGGUUUGCUAAGACCGAUGUGAAAUCCCCGGGCUCAACCUGGGAACUGCAUUGGUGACUGGCAGGCUAGAGUAUGGCAGAGGGGGGUAGAAUUCCACGUGUAGCAGUGAAAUGCGUAGAGAUGUGGAGGAAUACCGAUGGCGAAGGCAGCCCCCUGGGCCAAUACUGACGCUCAUGCACGAAAGCGUGGGGGAGCAAACAGGAUUAGAUACCCUGGUAGUCCACGCCCUAAACGAUGUCAACUAGUUGUUGGGGAUUCAUUCCUUAGUAACGUAGCUAACGCGUGAAGUUGACCGCCUGGGGAGUACGGUCGCAAGAUUAAAACUUAAAUGAAUUGACGGGGUCAUAGCUG
rnacentral:rRNA from 1 species